rnacentral:rRNA from 1 species
CAGAACUUAAAGGAAGUUGACGGGGCCCGCACAAGCGGAGGAACAUGUGGUUUAAUUCGAUGAUACGCGAGGAACCUUACCCGGGCUUGAAAUGCAUCUGACCGGCCUUGAAAGAGGUUUUCCCUUCGGGCAGAUGUGUAGGUGCUGCAUGGUUGUCGUCAGCUCGUGCCGUGAGGUGUCGGCUUAAGUGCCAUAACGAGCGCAACCCUCAUCAUUAGUUACCAUCAGGUAAGGCUGGGGACUCUAAUGAGACUGCCAUCGUAAGAUGUGAGGAAGGUGGGGAUGACGUCAAAUCAGCACGGCCCUUACGUCCGGGGCGACACACGUGUUACAAUGGGUGGUACAAAGGGCAGCUACCUGGCGACAGGAUGCUAAUCUCCAAAACCACUCUCAGUUCGGAUCGGAGUCUGCAACUCGACUCCGUGAAGCUGGAUUCGCUAGUAAUCGCGCAUCAGCCACGGCGCGGUGAAUACGUUCCCGGGCCUU